GACGAACGCUGGCGGCGUGCUUAACACAUGCAAGUCGAACGGAAAGGCCCUUCGGGGUACUCGAGUGGCGAACGGGUGAGUAACACGUGGGUGAUCUGCCCUGCACUUUGGGAUAAGCCUGGGAAACUGGGUCUAAUACCGAAUAGGACCACGCGCUUCAUGGUGUGUGGUGGAAAGCUUUUGCGGUGUGGGAUGGGCCCGCGGCCUAUCAGCUUGUUGGUGGGGUAAUGGCCUACCAAGGCGACGACGGGUAGCCGGCCUGAAAGGGUGACCGGCCACACUGGGACUGAGAUACGGCCCAGACUCCUACGGGAGGCAGCAGUGGGGAAUAUUGCACAAUGGGCGCAAGCCUGAUGCAGCGACGCCGCGUGAGGGAUGACGGCCUUCGGGUUGUAAACCUCUUUCAAUAGGGACGAAGCGUGAGUGACGGUACCUAUAGAAGAAGCACCGGCCAACUACGUG
rnacentral:rRNA from 1 species